GAUGAAGAACGUAGCGAAAUGCGAUUAGUAAUGUGAAUUGCAGAAUUCAGUGAAUCAUCGAAUCUUUGAACGCACAUUGCGCCCGCCAGUAUUCUGGCGGGCAUGCCUGUUCGAGCGUCAUUUCAACCAUCAAGCCCCAGGCUUGUGUUGGGGACCUGCGGCUGCCGCAGGCCCUGAAAACCAGUGGCGGGCUCGCUGUCACACCGGGCGUAGUAGAUUUUAUCUCGCUCAGGGCGUGCUGCGGGUUCCGGCCGUUAAAAAGCCUUUUUUACCCAAGGUUGACCUCGGAUCAGGUAGGAAGACCCGCUGAACUUAAGCAUAUCAAUAAGCGGAGGA
rnacentral:misc_RNA from 1 species